CAAUAGCGUAUAUUAAAGUUGUUGCGGUUAAAAAGCUCGUAGUUGAACCUUGGGCUUGGCUGGCCGGUCCAUCUUUUUUGAUGCGUACUGGACCCAGCCGAGCCUUUCCUUCUGGCUAGCCUUUUGGCGAACCAGGACUUUUACUUUGAAAAAAUUAGAGUGUUCAAAGCAGGCCUUUGCUCGAAUAUAUUAGCAUGGAAUAAUAGAAUAGGACGUUAUGGUUCUAUUUUGUUGGUUUCUAGGACCAUCGUAAUGAUUAAUAGGGACGGUCGGGGGUAUCAGUAUUCAGUUGUCAGAGGUGAAAUUCUUGGAUUUACUGAAGACUAACUACUGCGAAAGCAUUUACCAAGGACGUUUUCAUUAA
rnacentral:rRNA from 1 species